rnacentral:misc_RNA from 1 species
GAUGAAGAACGCAGCGAAAUGCGAUACUUGGUGUGAAUUGCAGAAUCCCGUGAACCAUCGAGUCUUUGAACGCAAGUUGCGCCUCAAGCCAUUAGGUUGAGGGCACGUCUGCCUGGGCGUCACAUAUCGUUGCCUGAUGCCAGUUUCCUCGUGAUGGGUGACUGUGCAGGGCGAAUGAUGGCUUCCCGUGAGCAUUGUUGCCUCAUGGUUGGUUGAAAAUUGAGUCCUUGGUAGGGAGCGCCGUGAUAGAUGGUGGUUGAGUGACGAACGAGACCCAAUCAUGUGAGACCCCUACCGAAUUUGGCCUUCAUGACCCACAUGCGUCUUUGGAAUGCUCAUGACGAGACCUCAGGUCAGGCGGGGCUACCCGCUGAGUUUAAGCAUAUCAAUAAGCGGAGGA